AGAAACGCGCGUUAACGAACUGCAAAACAUUACACGUACUUCCAACCGCGGGCUGGACUGCCGAUGAUUCUUCGCUUCUUCACUGUCUGUUAGGUUUUCUUGUUAGUCGUUAAGUCGUUAACUUUACUCGUGGACGAUCAUUUGAGAUAUGGAUAAUGUACGACCUUUCGGCGCCGCCUAGGCUCUGGUUGACUAUUUAAGUCGUUGUUGUUGUUUAGUUUGUUAUGUCAUCAUUGUUACAUCUUGUAGGUUGUUAGCUGGCUUAAGUCGCUCGGCCCUCUUUGUAAUCAUCGUGGCAUCCCAACGAGAAACGGAGCCUAUGCCCUUUCAGUUGGUAUCGAUCUAGACGAUCCGGCCUAUACGCUCCGCCUUCGUCUUUAUCGUCUUCGUCUUCGUCUUCGUCUUCGUCUCCGUCUUCGUCGUCAUCGUCAUCGUCAUCGUCAUCGCCUUCGUCAUCGUCAUCGUUAUCGUCAUCGCUUCGCUGGUCAUCUUCGUCUUCGUCAUCCUCCAAUGGCUCUCGUCCCCACAGACGUCCACCGCGACCGCUCCCGUUCACGGUCUGCAGAACUUCCGGGCAACAUCCACCUGUCGCCAUUCACGCUCGACCCCUCUCCCAUCCCCCCUAUCGUCCACUCCGCCCCUACCGUCCCCAUCGUCGACCCCGUCCCCACCACCUCCGACGCCGCUACUUACGUCCCCUCGCUCCAGGAGGCUAUCACCUCCGCCGUCCGCGCCGCAAUGGCCGAACUCCCUCCGGCCCCAUGGUCGACCGCCCAACAGCCCCAUCCCGGACUUUACACCCCCCUCCCUACCAUCGCCCAACCUCGGCCGCCACAUCUGAACCUCUUGCAUGUGUCCCGUGACUUUCCCCCCUUCGACCCCAAGGAUCCCCGUGCAGACAUCGGGGGCUGGGACAUCCAAAUGCGACACAACCUGGAUAUGGCCGGCGUCCCCGAGGAUAGUNNNNNNNNNNNNNNNNNNNNNNNNNNNNNNNNNNNNNNNNNNNNNNNNNNUGCCUAUCUCAGCAGACUGCUAAUGGUACUGCGGAGACAGGAUGAGUCACUGGGAUCUAUGCAGUGUGGCCCCGGGCACCGAUGCUUCCUAGCAGGGCUAGGUAAUGCGGUGGUGUGAAGUUGGUUGGAGGUUGACACAGAUGGGAGGGGGCUUUAGCUCAGUGGUAGAGCGCGCGCUUCGCAUGCGUGAGGUCACCGGAUCGAUCCCGGUAAGCUCCAAAGCACUGCACAGGCACGCGCCGGAUCGGGCCAUGAGGAGACCAUUCUUCCGUGUGCACGUGCCGACAUGGAUUUGUCCAGACGUUUGUCUGAAUUCGCUCAAUUGUAUAAAAUAACUACGACUAGGUCUCUGGCCAAAGCUACUACGUUGUCAAAAAAGGUUCUUGUUGGAGUAGGUUAGGUCCCCCUUCGGUAAUGUCGUUUUACUAGUAGCUCUUUCCCCGAAGGGGGGAUGCCGUAGUUCCUAAUGUAGUAGGCAUAUGGACAGAGCCUAGUUGUAGUUUAACUACAUUACUAGUUACCCUUCGGGAUUAGCGGAGCCAACAUUAACGAGGGCUUUGCCCCACCGAACUACAUUGUGUCAACCUGCGGCCGAAAGGACAAACUCAGCAGCUUUAGUCGCUAUUUUAGUCCACAAGACUGGUGUCUUUGUUGUGAACUAAGCCGUGGCGUUGGGCGGAAAGCAGAUGUACAUAACAGAGGACGGAGAGGGGCUUUAGCUCAGUGGUAGAGCGCGCGCUUUGCAUGCGUGAGGCCACCAGUUCAAACCCGGUAAGCUCCAAGAAACAAAUGCAGAUCGAAGACAUUAUAACAUGUUACUAUACUAUGAGGGUUGUUUAAAUAAAAGGAGUUAAAUGAGCCUGUGGUCGUAUGAUUCCAUCUCUUAAAACCUCGACUCGAUUGUAUUGCGCGGUUAGCAGGUACGGGGAAUGCACCCCACGAUCAUGUAACACGCACAGAUGCAACACACACACUAUACAUAUAGAUACUCUUGCUGACAUUCAGCCGCCACGUGUCAGGACGGGAACAAGAAGAGAAGCAAAGUAGAUGAUCUUGUCUUGCACAGAAAAAUAGAUGUGUAUAUGAUCUAUUUAUUGUAUCAUAUGUGUAUAUAUAUGUGAUAUGAUAAACAAUUAAAACACACACAUAUAUAUAUGUAUAUGUAUAUUAUUUAUAUUGGUAUGGGUGUGCACUCGGUGCUUCAUCAUAUCACUCGAUGGUGUAUGGGUGAUAGGCGACAUGCCAGUCCUCUUUCAAAGGACUCAUCGAAGUGGAGCAUUUAUAUUUUAUCCUCGGGUCCCGAUGAUCAUACCACAUCCAUCUGCAUCAUGACAUCAUGCGUCACGUGACGACUGGCUGACACAGCAUGCAGGGAUAUGUUCACUUCAGUUCAUUAGGUAAAGCGCAAUCCUACCUGGGUAUCCACUUCGAUGUUCCCUUCUGAGUGCACGAAUUAUCUUCAUAUCAUAGUGUCAUAGUGUGGAUGUGUUACUUCACUUCACAAAUGUGAUGGACAUACAUACCCACGCACGAAGUAGUGUCCAUUCUGGCGGCCAGUUGACAUUUCGCAACGCCAUACACACACAUACAUACACAUACAUACACACCGAGCGGAUGCAGGCGAUUGAGAACUGAAUACUGUAGCAACUGCCGUACAGUAUAACACAUGUACAUCAGCAAAGUGCAUGCAUGCACUUUUUUCACAAGCUCCUGUCCNNNNNNNNNNNNNNNNNNNNNNNNNNNNNNNNNNNNNNNNNNNNNNNNNNCGUCCCCUACUUCGUCGUCUUCGUUUCCUCUUAUUUCGUCGUCUCCGUCGUCCACUACUUCGUCGUCUUCGUCUUCUCUUAUCUCGUCGUCUCCGUCGUCCCCUACUUCGUCGUCUUCGUUUCCUCUUAUUUCGUCGUCUCCGUCGUCCACUACUUCGUCAUCUUCGCCCUCUCUUAUCUCAUCUUCGUUGCCUCCUACUUCAUCGUCUUCAUCCUCAAUCAUUUCGUCACCUCCGUCCUCUACCAUGUCGUCACCUACGUCGUCAACUACUUCGUCGUCCCCGCUUACCACCACCUCCCGUGUUCGACAACUCACCCACCACUUCGCAACCCCAAAACCACUCACACCCCCAACCGCGGAACAACCUCCGCCGUCCCGCUCCAACGUCGCUCGUCUCAUCGCCCGCUUCUCACCCUCGCCCCCAGCCCCACAACCCUCCACGGCUCCCGUACCUUCACCUACUCCUACCCCGCAACCACCCACCAGUAUAACCGCUCCACCUCCGCGCGUCUCCUUCGCUUCUCCCCUCGUCUCACCACCUACCCCUCGCCCUACCCUCCCUCGCCCCCAACCCAUCCCUCGUCCAGCACUCAAGCAGCACCACCGUCUUCGCCAACCUCCGUUACCACCCGUCGACGAAAACACACCCACUUCACAGGUCCCUCUACCCCCUAUCCUCGGCCGCCUGACAGCCGCCGAUCUCUCCUCCACACUCAUCGUCUUCGACGCCCACAUCGCUGGAUGCCCUGCUCGAAUCCUUCUUGACUCCGGCGCCUCACACAACUUCAUAGCCAACGAUUUCAUCAACCGCUCCCACCUCCGUCCCGCCAAUCUUCCACCGUCUCAAGCCUUCCGAGUCCGCCUCGCCAACGGACAUCUCGCUCUCUCUUCCGCCGCCCUUGCCAACGUCCACCUCUCCAUCCAAUCCCACCAUGAGCUUACCACCUUCUACGCCUUGGACCUUGACGGGUACGAUGCUAUCCUUGGUAAGCCUUGGUUAACCCAGCACAACCCCAACAUCGAUUGGCAGUCCAACACCGUCACGAUAGGCAAUACACUCCUUUCGGGCUCAACCCCCCAGCCACCCAUGUUCGCCAUCGAAUUCGUCUCCGCCGCCCGCAUGCAGAAAUGCAUUCGUCAAGCCAGCACCGGCACCACCCCAUUUUACGCCAACUACGGUUUCCAUCCCACCACCCCCGCCACGAUUAACACCCCCCCUUCCAAACCCGCACACACCGCCGCCGCUGAUCUCCAUGCCCACAUCCGUGACAUUCAUUCUACCAUCACCGCCGAACUCGAAGCAGCUAAAGUUCGAUAUGCUGCCGCCGCCAACCAACACCGCCGCAACCUCACCUUCCAAGUUGGCGACCGUGUUCGCCUCUCCACCACUAACCUCACCUUACCCGACUACCCCUCCGCAAAACUCCGACCUCGCUACAUCGGCCCUUUUACCAUUAGUGCAGUCAUUUCCCCCGUCGCUUACCGCCUCCAACUUCCACCUACCCUCGGCCGCAUCCAUCCCGUUUUUCACGUCUCCCGCCUGCUUCCGUGGACGGACAACGAUCCUACGCUCUUCCCCAACCGUCCUCCAGCUCCGCCCGCCGUGCCCAUCACACUGGAGUCACCGUACGACCACGCCGACACUAUCGUUACUGCAGUUCGCCUAGGUUAUAACCGUCGUGGUCGGCCGUCCGUCAUGUUCCUAGUUCAGUGGUCUACCGCCAGUGGCCGUGACGCGUCCUGGGAACCGUACGAUGAUGUACGCAGCCUUCCAGCACUUCGUGCCUUCCUGGCGACCCCAGCCUGGACCGCGUUUAAGCUGUCAGACCGCUAUGCCUGGUUCAGAGCGAAGUUUCCGGAACGCGCCCCGAGGAUAGUGCACUUCAUGACAACCUAGCGCUCCGCAUAGGAUGGUGUUGUGUGUGACUCGUGUCCUGUGUGUUUUCAGUUUUGGGUUAUUUCGCCUCAGUUUUGCGCGUGUCGUGUCUUGACUUCGGUUUUUUUCGGGGUAUUGCGUGUUGCAUGUUGUGUACUUUCGUGUUUUCUUGCGUUAUUUUGCCAUCCACCGAGUUUGCUUUUCUGUGCCUUAGGCUUAUGAUUUGCGUACUCUUUGUGGAUGUUUCUGGACACGUUCGUUUGGUCGUAGACCGGUUCCUUAGACCGGUAGAUAUAGGUGUCGUGCACCUUAUUUAGGCCGGUAUCCAGUGCGGGGAAGGUUUUGCCUUGACUCCGGUUCCCUUUUGCCUUCCCCUCGUUAGCCUGGUACCGAUUUCGUUCAGGGAAUCGGAGCGGCGCACGACUUAGCAUAGUUUGUACUUUGGUCGCAUCGAGGCCGAUGCUUGAGCUAAGCAGGGGGGCAUGUUAGGUUUUCUUGUUAGUCGUUAAGUCGUUAACUUUACUCGUGGACGAUCAUUUGAGAUAUGGAUAAUGUACGACCUUUCGGCGCCGCCUAGGCUCUGGUUGACUAUUUAAGUCGUUGUUGUUGUUUAGUUUGUUAUGUCAUCAUUGUUACAUCUUGUAGGUUGUUAGCUGGCUUAAGUCGCUCGGCCCUCUUUGUAAUCAUCGUGGCAUCCCAACGAGAAACGGAGCCUAUGCCCUUUCACUGUCGCUGCCUGAGAACUCCUGGCGGGCGCUCGCCCCUCCCAAGCGUUCAAUAGCGCAAUUAUUACAUUUCCUGAAAACUACCAACGGAUUUAUCUUUUAUUGUACUUUUGAAGCUCGUCCUCAGAGCCCGAAGGAAAGAAGAAAACACAGCAAUAGCCUCCUAUCGUGGUACGCACCGGUGUACG
rnacentral:lncRNA from 1 species